rnacentral:rRNA from 1 species
CGAGCGAAGCACUUUUUUAGAACUCUUCGGAGGGAAGAGAGGGUGACUUAGCGGCGGACGGGUGAGUAACGCGUGGGCAACCUGCCUUACACAGGGGGAUAACAAUUAGAAAUGAUUGCUAAUACCGCAUAAGACCCCAGUGCCGCAUGGUACAGGGGUAAAAACUGAGGUGGUGUAAGAUGGGCCCGCGUCUGAUUAGGUAGUUGGUGGGGUAGAAGCCUACCAAGCCGACGAUCAGUAGCCGACCUGAGAGGGCGACCGGCCACAUUGGGACUGAGACACGGCCCAAACUCCUACGGGAGGCAGCAGUGGGGAAUAUUGCACAAUGGGGGAAACCCUGAUGCAGCGACGCCGCGUGAGUGAGGAAGUAUUUCGGUAUGUAAAGCUCUAUCAGCAGGGAAGAAAAUGACGGUACCUGACUAAGAAGCCCCGGCUAACUACGUGCCAGCAGCCGCGGUAAUACGUAGGGGGCAAGCGUUAUCCGGAUUUACUGGGUGUAAAGGGAGCGUAGACGGAAUUGCAAGUCUGAUGUGAAAAUCCGGGGCCCAACCCCGGAACUGCAUUGGAAACUGUAUUUCUAGAGUGUCGGAGAGGCAAGUGGAAUUCCUGGUGUAGCGGUGAAAUGCGUAAAUAUCAGGAGGAACACCAGUGGCGAAGGCCGCUUGCUGGAAGAUGACUGACGUUGAGGCUCCAAAGCGUGGGGAACCAAACAGGAUUAGAUUCCCUGGUAGUCCACGCCGUAAACGAUGACUACUAGGGGUCGGGAGGCAAAGCCUUUCGGUGCCGCAGCCAACGCAAUAAGUAGUCCACCUGGGGAGUACGUUCGCAAGAAUGAAACUCAAAGGAAUUGACGGGGACCCGCACAAGCGGUGGAGCAUGUGAUAUAAUUCGAAGCAACGCGAAGAACCUUACCUGGCCUUGACAUCCCGGUGACAGCGGAAUAAUGUCCGUUUUCCUUCGGGACACUGGAGACAGGUGGUGCAUGGUUGUCGUCAGCUCGUGUCGUGAGAUGUUGGGUUAAGUCCCGCAACGAGCGCAACCCUUACCUUCAGUAGCCAGCAUAUCAGAUGGGCACUCUGGAGGGACUGCCAGGGACAACCUGGAGGAAGGUGGGGAUGACGUCAAAUCAUCAUGCCCCUUAUGGCCAGGGCUACACACGUGCUACAAGGACGUAAACAAAGAGAAGCGACCACGUGAGUGUGAGCGAAUCUCAAAAAUAACGUCUCAGUUCGGAUUGUAUUAAGGAACUCGACUACAUGAAGCUGGAAUCGCUAGUA